UAUCUCUGUAGAGUCUGCAUAUCAAUAAGCGGAGGAAAAGAAACUAACAAGGAUUCCCUUAGUAACGGCGAGUGAAGCGGGAAGAGCUCAAAUUUGAAAUCUUCAAGGUUCUACCUUGACGAAUUGUAGUUUAAAGAAGUGUUUUCUGUUAGAUGAGUAGCAAAAGUUCCUUGGAAUGGGACAUCAUAGAGGGUGAGAAUCCCGUAUUUGGUUAUUCAUUCUAGCUUUGUGAUACACUUUCAAAGAGUCGGAUUGUUUGGGAAUGCAGUCCAAAAUGGGUGGUAAAUUUCAUCUAAAGCUAAAUAUUGGCGAGAGACCGAUAGCGGACAAGUACCGUGAGGGAAAGAUGAAAAGAACUUUGAAAAGAGAGUUAAACAGUACGUGAAAUUGUCAAAAGGGAAGCGUUUGACACCAGUGUUGUUUUUCCGAAAAUCAAUUACGAAUGGCUUGAUUUUGUGUUGUAUUGACCUUAUCAGCUUUCUUCACUUUUUUCCGAGUCUUUCUUAAUGCACUUUUCGGUUAACAAGUCAACAUCAAUUUCCUUUGUUGUAAAAGAGUAUUCGGAAGGUGGCUUUCUUUUCGGAGAAAGUGUUUAUAGCCCUAUACUUCUACAAUCGGAGAGAUUGAGGUCUGCAGCGUAGAUCCUUCGGGGUUAGAUACACUUGUGCUAAGUCGUAGCUUUUCAUAGACAACUUGUUGACUAUGUUUAGUCAUGCGGCUUACUCGCUUGUGCUAUUUUACCUACGCUUAGGAUGUUGACUGAUAUGUAGUCGUA
rnacentral:rRNA from 1 species